rnacentral:rRNA from 1 species
GACGAACGCUGGCGGCGUGCUUAACACAUGCAAGUCGAACGAGUGGCGAACGGGUGAGUAUUACGUGAGUAACCUGCCCUCAACUGUGGGAUAAGCCUGGGAAACUGGGUCUAAUACUGCAUAGUUGGGGAUGGGCUCGCGUCCUAUCAGCUUGUUGGGGGGGUGAUGGCUACCAAGGCGUGACGGGUAGCCGGCCUGAGAGGGUGGUCGGCCACAUUGGGACUGAGAUACGGCCCAGACUCCUACGGGAGGCAGCAGUGGGGAAUAUUGGACAAUGGGCGAAAGCCUGAUCCAGCCAUGCCGCGUGUGUGAAGAAGGUCUUCGGAUUGUAAAGCACUUUAAGUUGGGAGGCGUUACCAACAGAAUAAGCACCGGCUAACUUCGUGCCAGCAGCCGCGGUAAUAC